UACGUAGGGUGCGAGCGUUAAUCGGAAUUACUGGGCGUAAAGCGUGCGCAGGCGGUUCGUUGUGUCGGCGGUGAAAGCCCCGGGCUUAACCUGGGAAUGGCCGUUGAAACUGGCGAACUGGAGUGUGGCAGAGGGGGGUGGAAUUCCGCGUGUAGCAGUGAAAUGCGUAGAGAUGCGGAGGAACACCAACGGCGAAAGCACUCUGCUGGGCCGACACUGACACUGAGAGACGAAAGCUAGGGGAGCGAAUGGG
rnacentral:rRNA from 1 species